rnacentral:rRNA from 1 species
GUCUAUGGCCAUAAAACCCUGAACACGCCUGAUCUUGUCUGGUCUUGAAGCUAAGCAGGGUCCGACUUGGUUAGUACUUAAUGGGAGACUGCCUGGGAAUACCGAGUGCUGUAAUUU